AACGAACGCUGGCGGCAGGCCUAACACAUGCAAGUCGAACGUGAAGCCACCUUCGGGUGGUGGAAAGUGGCAGACGGGUGAGUAACGCGUGGGAACGUGUCUUUCGGUUCGGGAUAACCCAGGGAAACUUGGGCUAAUACCGGAUACGCCCUCCGGGGGAAAGAUUCAUUGCCGAAAGAUCGGCCCGCGUCGGAUUAGCUAGUUGGUGGGGUAAAAGCCUACCAAGGCGACGAUCCGUAGCUGGUCUGAGAGGAUGACCAGCCACACUGGGACUGAGGCACGGCCCAGACUCCUACGGGAGGCAGCAGUGGGGAAUAUUGGACAAUGGGCGCAAGCCUGAUCCAGCCAUGCCGCGUGGGUGAAGAAGGCCCUAGGGUUGUAAACCCCUUUCAGCGGGGAAGAUAAUGACGGUACCCGCAGAAGAAGCCCCGGCUAACUCCGUGCCAGCAGCCGCCGUAA
rnacentral:rRNA from 1 species